CUGAAGUCUUUGUAGGAAAGAAAGAUGCAAGGAAAGCAGGUUAAUGGUAACCCCAGUGAUCUUUAAACAGUAGGUUUUAAUUUUGGUAUUUUAUAGAUGAGGCCGUUGAGAGAUUAUCUAGUCCAUGGCAGAGUUGGGACUUGAAUUCCGGGUUCUUUGCCUUUAAAGCACAUGUGCCUUUUUCUAUACAAUUCAGUGAAAUUAACCUUGAAUAUAGAGUUGAGGCCCUAAAGGUCCAGAAAUUAUUUUUGAUGCAAUUAUUUACUGGGUUCUAAUCCCUAAAGAAGGUCUCAGUGUGACAUUUUGAUCCUCAUGGAGACAGAAUUUAAAGAUGGAGGCAGCCCUGGAAGCUGCAUCAAAACCUUUGGCAAAAGAACAACAUC
rnacentral:lncRNA from 1 species